rnacentral:snRNA from 1 species
AGCUUAGCGCAGUGGCAGUAUCGUAGCCAACGAGGUUUAUCCAAGGCGCGAUUAUUGCUAAUUGAAAACUUUUCCCAAUACCUGGUGGUGAUGACUUGAAAUAUGGUCGGCAUUGGCAAUUUUUGACAGUCUCUAUGGAGA